CGGGAGGCAGCAGUGAGGAAUAUUGGUCAAUGGCCGAGAGGCUGAACCAGCCAAGUCGCGUGAGGGAUGAAGGUUUAUGGAUCGUAAACCUCUUUUAUAAGGGAAUAAGUGCGGGACGUGUCCCGUUUUGUAUGUACCUUAUGAAUAAGGAUCGGCUAACUCCGUGCCAGCAGCCGCGGUAAUACGGAGGAUCCGAGCGUUAUCCGGAUUUAUUGGGUUUAAAGGGUGCGUAGGCGGCCUUUUAAGUCAGCGGUGAAAGUCUGUGGCUCAACCAUAGAAUUGCCGUUGAAACUGGGGGGCUUGAGUAUGUUUGAGGCAGGCGGAAUGCGUGGUGUAGCGGUGAAAUGCUUAGAUAUCACGCAGAACCCCGAUUGCGAAGGCAGCCUGCCAAGCCAUGACUGACGCUGAUG
rnacentral:rRNA from 1 species